GUCACCUACGGGAGGCAGCAGUGGGGGAUAUUGCACAAUGGGGGGAACCCUGAUGCAGCGACGCCGCGUGGGUGAAGGAGCGUUUCGGCGCGUAAAGCCCUAUCGGCAGGGAAGAAGAUGACGGUACCUGACCAAGAAGCCCCGGCUAACUACGUGUCAGCAGCCGCGGUAAUACGUAGGGGGCAAGCGUUAUCCGGAUUCACUGGGCGUAAAGGGAGCGCAGGCGGCAUGGCAAGACUGAUGUGAAAACCCGGGGCCCAACCCCGGGAG
rnacentral:rRNA from 1 species